rnacentral:tRNA from 1 species
GCUCUCGUAGCUCAGUUGGUAGAGCAAAUGACUCUUAAUCAUUGGGCCCAGGGUUCGAGUCCCUGCGAGAGCA